UACGUAGGGCGCAAGCGUUGUCCGGAAUUAUUGGGCGUAAAGAGCUCGUAGGCGGCUUGUCACGUCGGGUGUGAAAGCCCGGGGCUUAACCCCGGGUCUGCAUUCGAUACGGGCUAGCUAGAGUGUGGUAGGGGAGAUCGGAAUUCCUGGUGUAGCGGUGAAAUGCGCAGAUAUCAGGAAGAACACCCGUGGCGAAGGCGGCUCUCUGGGACGGUACUGACGCUGAGACGCGAAAGCGUGGGAGCGAACAGG
rnacentral:rRNA from 1 species